CAGCUGUUGCCCAACAUUAGGAAGCAGCUGGAGGAAGUGGCCACAUGGCGGAACGAGAAGACCGUGGAGAACCCGUCUGAGCCGAGACCAGGUCCUCAGACCCGAACCAGACCCGAACCAGACCUGUGGCUCAUGUUCAGGACCUUGGACCUGGCCCCUCCCUCAGCCGUGAGCCAAUAGGAGGAGAGGACUCGUGGCUCUGCAGAGCUCCUCUAACAGCUGUUGGGUGUUUCAGCCAUGGCCCGGCCGGCAGCACUGAUGCGCCUCCUGCUGCUCCUCGGCCUGCAGAGGAUCUGUGGAGGGUUGAAACACGGGAACUGCACCGACUACCAGCUGCAGUUCGAGCUCGUGUUCUCG